CUAUUAGGUUUCUUUCGUCCCCUCACUCCCUUUCUCUUUUGUCCCCUCAUCUCCCUUUCUCUAUCACUUUCUCUUUUUCUCCCUCAUUUCUCCAUCUCUGUUUUCUCCAUUUCUCAAUUUUUUUGGGCUCACCGAGUAUGUAUGUGAAUCUCCCUUAAGCUCCCUCAAGCACCUCCAUUCUCGCUCUCCUUCAGGUACAACAGAUUUGAGUUUUUCUUGGGCCCUCAAUCUCUACCUUUCUGUUCUCUUUUCCUCAUAGCUAGGUCAGGACAGAGAGGAAGAUCCUAGACUAAAGGUCAUGAAGAAAGAAUGGUUUGAAGGCAAAAAUUGUCUUGACAUCGGCUACAACAAUGGGAUUAUAACCAUUCAGAUUGUCUUACAUGGAUUCAGAAACCAAAGGGAUAAUGGCAGUAUAUGCCACUGGACAGCUAAGGAGAACUUCCUAGAUUAUAUUUAUUGCAAUCUCAUGAUUUUUGUUCAGGGGACAAGCUUCACACACACUUCUCAUGCACCAUUUGAUUUGUCCUUUUAUAAAUAAUGUAAAAUUAGAACAAUUUUAGAGUGACAUUAUUUGUAAGAUUCAUCAAUAGAGUAUCAGAUUGAAAUAUUUAGAUUGUUAUUAGGACAUAUAGUUGGUUUGACUUUUUUUUAUGUGUUUGUUUUUAUUUUUAUUUUUAUUGAUAAAUGUUUAAAGAUUUUAUAAGCUAGCUUACAAUACAUGUUAAUGAGAAAUUUAAAUUUCUUUUAA